UACGGGGGGGGCAAGCGUUGUUCGGAAUUACUGGGCGUAAAGGGCUCGUAGGUGGCCAACUAAGUCAGACGUGAAAUCCCUCGGCUUAACCGGGGAACUGCGUCUGAUACUGGAUGGCUUGAGUUUGGGAGAGGGACGCGGAAUUCCAGGUGUAGCGGUGAAAUGCGUAGAUAUCUGGAGGAAUACCGGUGGCGAAGGCGGGUCUCUGGGCCGAUACUGACGCUGAGGAGCGAAAGCGUGGGGAGCGAACAGG
rnacentral:rRNA from 1 species